AUUUUGCUGACGAGUGGCGGACGGGUGAGUAAUGCUUGGGAAUUUGCCUUAUGGUGGGGGACAACAGUUGGAAACGACUGCUAAUACCGCAUAAUCUCUUCGGAGCAAAGCAGGGGACCUUCGGGCCUUGCGCCAUAAGAUGAGCCCAAGUGGGAUUAGCUAGUUGGUAAGGUAAUGGCUUACCAAGGCGACGAUCCCUAGCUGGUCUUAGAGGAUGACCAGCCACACUGGAACUGAGACACGGUCCAGACUCCUACGGGAGGCAGCAGUGGGGAAUAUUGCACAAUGGAGGAAACUCUGAUGCAGCCAUGCCGCGUGUGUGAAGAAGGCUUUCGGGUUGUAAAGCACUUUCAGCGAGGAGGAAAGGGUAAUAGUUAAUAACUAUUAUCUGUGACGUACUCGCAGAAGAAGCACCGCUAACU
rnacentral:rRNA from 1 species